UCGGUUGAUCCUGCCGGAGGCUACCGCUAUUGGAGUUCGAUUAAGCCAUGCGAGUCGAGAGUCUUAGGGACUCGGCGUACCGCUCAGUAACACGUGGGUAACCUGCCCUAUGCUGGGGAAUAACCUCGGGAAACUGAGAAUAAUACCCCAUAGUUCACCACGCCUGGAACGGUGGGUGGAUGAAAGCUCCGGCGGCAUAGGAUGGGCCUGCGACGUAUCAGGUUGUAGGGGGUGUAACGUACCCUCUAGCCAUCAACGCGUACGGGUGUUGGGAGACAUAGCCCGGAGAUGGAUUCUGAGACACGAAUCCAGACCCUACGGGGUGCAGCAGGCGCGAAAACUUGGCAAUGCGAGCAAUCGUGACCAGGGAACUCCAAGUGGCUGGGGUAAUACCCAGUUUUUUCUUGACUCUUCAAAGGUCUUGGAAUAAGGGGUGGGUAAGGACGGUGCCAGCCGCCGCGGUAAUACCGGCGCCUCAAGUGGUAGUCGCUUUUAUUGGGCCUAAAACGUCCGUAGCCGGUCUGGUGCAUUCGUGGGUAAAUCAACCCGCUCAACGGGUUGAAUUCUGCGAGCACGGCCAGACUUGGGACCGGGAGAGGUGUGGGGUACUCUCAGGGUAGGGGUAAAAUCCUGUCAUCCUGAGAGGACCACCUGUUGCGAAGGCGCCACACUAGAACGGAUUCGACGGUCAGGGACGAAACCUAGGGGCACGAACCGGAUUAGAUACCCGGGUAGUCCUAGGUGU
rnacentral:rRNA from 1 species